ACCCAACUGACGAGUUCCAAACAGGACGAAAGGCGCUUCCUGGAU
rfam:Schistosoma mattheei strain Denwood, Zambia genome assembly, scaffold: SMTD_scaffold0028194